GAGACAAACAACUGCGAAAGCAUUUGCCUAAAAUACUUCCAUUAAUCAAGAACGAAAGUUAAGGGAGUGAAGACGAUCAGAUACCGUCGUAAUCUUAACCAUAAACUAUACCGACUAGGUUUUGGAUGAAAGUUAAACAAAUAAGGAUAGUCUCUUCGGGGAUAGUCCUUAGAUUUCUUCCUUCAGUACCCUAUGAGAAAUCAAAGUCUUUGGGUUCUGGGGCGAGUAUUCGCGCAAGCGAGAAAGUUAAAAGAAUUGACGGAAGGGCACCACCAGGCGUGGAGCUUGCG
rnacentral:rRNA from 1 species